rnacentral:rRNA from 1 species
GAUGAACGCUGGCGGCGUGCCUAAUACAUGCGAGUCGAGCGAACUGAUUAGAAGCUUGCUUCUAUGACGUUAGCGGCGGACGGGUGAGUAACACGUGGGCAACCUGCCUGUAAGACUGGGAUAACUUCGGGAAACCGAAGCUAAUACCGGAUAGGAUCUUCUCCUUCAUGGGAGAUGAUUGAAAGAUGGUUUCGGCUAUCACUUACAGAUGGGCCCGCGGUGCAUUAGCCAGUUGGUGAGGUAACGGCUCACCAAGGCAACGAUGCAUAGCCGACCUGAGAGGGUGAUCGGCCACACUGGGACUGAGACACGGCCCAGACUCCUACGGGAGGCAGCAGUAGGGAAUCUUCCGCAAUGGACGAAAGUCUGACGGAGCAACGCCGCGUGAGUGAUGAAGGCUUUCGGGUCGUAAAACUCUGUUGUUAGGGAAGAACAAGUACAAGAGUAACUGCUUGUACCUUGACGGUACCUAACCAGAAAGCCACGGCUAACUACGUGCCAGCCGCCGCGGUAA